rnacentral:rRNA from 1 species
UACGGAGGGGGCUAGCGUUAAUCGGAAUUACUGGGCGUAAAGCGUGCGCAGGCGGUUUUGUAAGUCUGUCGUGAAAUCCCCGGGCUUAACCUGGGAAUGGCGAUGGAGACUGCAAGGCUAGAAUCUGGCAGAGGGGGGUAGAAUUCCACGUGUAGCAGUGAAAUGCGUAGAGAUGUGGAGGAACACCGAUGGCGAAGGCAGCCCCCUGGGUCAAGAUUGACGCUCAUGCACGAAAGCGUGGGGAGCAAACAGG